rnacentral:tRNA from 1 species
GAGCGUAUAGCUCAGUGGUAGAGUGCAUGCUUAACAGGCACAAAGUUCUAGGUUCAAUCCCCAGUGCCUCCA